UUCUAUUUCUUGGUAAUUCGGUUUGUGAAAUGACUAUUAAUUACAAACACAGCAUCAUCAACGGUGAUUGCAAGAACUACUGCCAUCCCUGCGGUUUUUCCUCUUGGUAAAUGCGUUCUGGUCGUGACCAAUGGUGGUCUCCCAAAUCGGCCGGGAAUAAGGCUAUUGUUGCAGAACAAAACGCCGCAACCACUGCUGUGGUAAAUAUGUUCCAGCAGAACUGCCCACCGCCGUCGGUGUAAUGAUUUCGAUAGCUGAACAAACGCCAUCUCCUGGGCAUUCCCACAGCUUGUCGACACUAGCUAUUAUAUCACGUGUGAAUGUAACUGGGGCUUAAUUUGGUUAUUAACAGUGCAAUAGUACCAUGUCAUUGGCAAAAACACUAAGGGCCAAUUUCACAGUGCGUUAGUUAACUCCGAAUCGAC